UUUCUGUAGGGGAACCUGCAGAAGGAUCAAUUACGAGCAGCGUUUUUUGUCGCGCGGAGAGAAGCGUGCUUCUUUCGACUACCGACGUAUCAGUGCAGCAGAAAUGAGAUUUUUUUUUUUCAUAGUAGCAAAAUCAAACAGUAAAACUCCUGGCAAUGGAUAUCUCGGCUCGGCGAUCGAUGAAGAGCGUGGCAAAAGGCGAUACCUAGUGCGAUCGGCAGAACGCGA
rnacentral:misc_RNA from 1 species